rfam:Ktedonobacter sp. 13_2_20CM_2_54_8 13_2_20cm_2_scaffold_51587, whole genome shotgun sequence.
GUCAUGUACCCCCGCAUUGAAUGCGGGGGCUUGCGAACAGCGUUCGCUCUGUUCGCAAGCCUGAGACAUGAGCAGACUCAGGUUUGAAAGAGAACCUACGUUAUCGGCAAGUGUUCAAGAACCUACCUCCGGGUGCUUCACCAGCCUGGAGCUCUAGAACUGCUGGAUUAAACAGGCGUAGAGGGAGAAACCAGUGUCCAGCGGAAAGUACCGACCGAUAACCUUGUCGAGGUGAGCAUCAC